AUAUCCACAAAUAAACGGGUCGAGUCGGAUAUAAACGGAUCGGAUUAAACUGAUCGAAUCAAGAAGAAAAGGGUUUUUUAAUAUUUGACUUUGUAAUUAAGGGUUAAACUAAUAAAUCCUAAAUUCCCAAUCAGCGUUUUAAUUUUUUGGAACUAAACAUCGUUUUCUGAUUGCAGUAUUAUUUUUUUAAAAAUUAAAACGCCUAAAAUAUAAGUUGAUAAAAAAAUGCCUCUGCCCGGAUUCAAACACGCGACCUCGCGUGCAGUGGAGCGAAUUCCUGAACCCCCAACGCCACUGAGCUACGCCUUUGGUGUUUGUUCAGGGGGUUCAAUAGUAUAUAUAUACACAUAAAUUAAUAUUUUAAUCUUUAUAUAUAUAGUGUAAUUUUUCGACGAA
rnacentral:lncRNA from 1 species